GACGAACGCUGGCGGCGUGCCUAACACAUGCAAGUCGCACGGGGUAGCAAUACCCAGUGGCGAACGGGUGCGUAACACGUGAGGAACAUACCUAUCGGCGGGGAUAGCCGGCCCAACGGCCGGGUAAUACCGCGUACGCUCUCCGGGGGCAGUCUCCUGGGGAGGAAAGCAGCAGUGCACCGAUAGAGUGCCUCGCGGCCUAUCAGCUAGCUGGUGAGGUAAAGGCUCACCAAGGCGACGACGGGUAGCUGGUCUGAGAGGAUGAUCAGCCACAUUGGGACUGAGACACGGCCCAGACUCCUACGGGAGGCAGCAGUGGGGAAUCUUGCGCAAUGGGCGAAAGCCUGACGCAGCGACGCCGCGUGUGGGAUGAAGGCCUCGGGUCGUAAACCACUGUCGCGAGGGACGAAUACAUUGACGGUACCUCGAAAGGAAGCACCGGCUAACUCUGUGCCAGCAGCCGCGGUAAUACAGAGGGUGCGAGCGUUGUCCGGAAUCACUGGGCGUAAAGGGCGCGUAGGUGGCUGUGUAAGUCGGGGGUGAAAUGCUGCGGCUCAACCGCAGCGCUGCCUCCGAGACUGCACGGCUUGAGCACGGUAGAGGCCGAUGGAAUUCCCGGUGUAGCGGUGGAAUGCGUAGAGAUCGGGAAGAACACCGAUGGCGAAGGCAGUCGGCUGGGGCCGUUGCUGACACUGAGGCGCGACAGCGUGGGGAGCAAAACAGGAUUAGAUACCCUGGUAG
rnacentral:rRNA from 1 species